GCGAGUAUAUGAGUGCUGGUGUGCUCCCUGGUCUUCAAAACCUGUGCUAUCGGUUAAAAUCCGGUUAGGUGGGUUCGAUUCCCACAUAUUCGCGCCA
rnacentral:tRNA from 1 species